GCUGGGAUUAAGGCCCAGUGGGCAGAGUGCUUGCCUGGCAUGCAUGGGGCCCUGGGUUCAAGCCUCAGCACUGCA
rnacentral:tRNA from 1 species